CUCUUCGGGGAUGAUUAAACCGGCGCACGGGUGAGUAACACGUGAGUGACCUGCCUUUUAGACUGGAACAACUUACCGAAAGGUGAGCUAAUGCCGGAUGAGUUAUAUAAGUGCAUGUUUAUAUAGGAAAAGUUGGGGAGACCUGACGCUGAAAGAUGGACUCGCGUCCCAUUAGCUAGUUGGUAGGGUAAUGGCCUACCAAGGCGACGAUGGGUAGCCGGCCUGAGAGGGUGGCCGGCCACACUGGGACUGAGACACGGCCCAGACUCCUACGGGAGGCAGCAGUGGGGAAUUUUGCGCAAUGCUCGUAAGAGUGACGCAGCGACGCCGCGUGAAUGACGAAGGCCUUCGGGUCGUAAAGUUCUUUCGACAGGGAAGAAAAUGCCUAUAAGUAACUGUGUAUGUAUUGACGGUACCUGUAUAAGCAGCCCCGGCUAACUCCGUGCCAGCAGCCGCGGUAAUACGGAGGGGGCGAGCGUUGUUCGGAGUGACUGGGCGUAAAGAGCACGUAGGCGGUGUUGUAAGUCAUUAGUCAAAGACUAGAGCUCAACUUUAGUAAGGCUAGUGAUACUAUAAUACUAGAGUAUCAGAGAGGAUUGCAGAAUUCCUGGUGUAGCGGUGAAAUGCGUAGAUAUCAGGAGGAAUACCGUUAGCGAAGGCGGCAAUCUGGCUGGAAACUGACGCUGAGGUGCGAAAGCGUGGGUAGCAAACAGGAUUAGAUACCCUGGUAGUCCACGCUGUAAACGAUGGAUGCUAGGUGUUGGGCUUUUAAGUUCAGUGCCGCAGCAAACGCGAUAAGCAUCCCGCCUGGGGAGUACGUUUGCAAGAA
rnacentral:rRNA from 1 species